UACGUAGGUGGCAAGCGUUGUCCGGAUUUACUGGGUGUAAAGGGCGUGUAGCCGGGCUGACAAGUCAGAUGUGAAAUCCGGGGGCUCAACCCCCGAACUGCAUUUGAAACUGUUGGUCUUGAGUAUCGGAGAGGCAGGCGGAAUUCCUAGUGUAGCGGUGAAAUGCGUAAAUAUAAGGAAGAGCACCAGUGGCGAAGGCGGAUGACUGGACGGCAACUGACGGUGAGGCGCGAAAGCGUGGGGAGCAAACAGG
rnacentral:rRNA from 1 species